AACGAACGCUGGCGGAGUGCCUAACACAUGCAAGUCGAACGCGAAAGUCCCUUCGGGGGUGAGUAGAGUGGCGCACGGGUGAGUAAUGGAUAGGAACGUACCUUUAGAUGGGGAAUAACCACGGGAAACUGUGGCUAAUACCGCAUAGUCUCGCAAGAGUAAAGUUUGCCUCUACUUGUAAGCAAGCGUCUAGAGAUCGGCCUAUCUCCCAUUAGCUAGUUGGUGGGGUAAUGGCCUACCAAGGCUACGAUGGGUAGCUGGUCUGAGAGGAUGAUCAGCCACACUGGAACUGAAACACGGUCCAG
rnacentral:rRNA from 1 species